rnacentral:rRNA from 1 species
UACGUAGGCAGCAAGCGUUGUUCGGAGUUACUGGGCGUAAAGAGCUCGUAGGCGGCUUGUCACGUCGAUUGUGAAAGCCCGAGGCUUAACCUCGGGUCUGCAGUCGAUACGGGCUAGCUAGAGUGUGGUAGGGGAGAUCGGAAUUCCUGGUGUAGCGGUGAAAUGCGCAGAUAUCAGGAGGAACACCGGUGGCGAAGGCGGAUCUCUGGGCCAUUACUGACGCUGAGGAGCGAAAGCGUGGGGAGCGAACAGG